AAAUUGAAGAGUUUGAUCAUGGCUCAGAUUGAACGCUGGCGGCAGGCCUAACACAUGCAAGUCGAACGGUAACAGGAAGAAGCUUGCUUCUUUGCUGACGAGUGGCGGACGGGUGAGUAAUGUCUGGGAAACUGCCUGAUGGAGGGGGAUAACUACUGGAAACGGUAGCUAAUACCGCAUAACGUCGCAAGACCAAAGAGGGGGACCUUCGGGCCUCUUGCCAUCGGAUGUGCCCAGAUGGGAUUAGCUUGUUGGUGGGGUAACGGCUCACCA
rnacentral:rRNA from 1 species